rnacentral:rRNA from 1 species
UACGUAGGUGGCGAGCGUUGUCCGGAUUUACUGGGCGUAAAGGGAGCGUAGGCGGACUUUUAAGUGAGAUGUGAAAUACCCGGGCUCAACUUGGGUGCUGCAUUUCAAACUGGAAGUCUAGAGUACAGGAGAGGAGAAUGGAAUUCCUAGUGUAGCGGUGAAAUGCGUAGAGAUUAGGAAGAACACCAGUGGCGAAGGCGAUUCUCUGGACUGUAACUGACGCUGAGGCUCGAAAGCGUGGGGAGCAAACAGGAUUAGAUACCCCGGUAGU